rnacentral:lncRNA from 1 species
UUAGUCUUAUUGGGCUUAACAAAGUCUGGGUUCCGCAAACAGGAUUCGGGCUUUGUUGGGCCUACUCCUUUUGACGCACCUUUAAGGUACUAGGCUUGCGGUUGGUAGUAAUGUUAAUUCUCGGAUGGAUGCACCUAAAUCGCAUGGUUUAGGCUAGAUCCACCGUCAAACUUAACACCAGUACCGAAGGGUAGCAUGGGUAGAAUGAGGUGAGAAGAGAGAAAUGCGAAUGAAUGCAAAAAUCCUAUAAAAGAAAAGGAAAGCAAUUAAAC